GACGUAGGGCGCGAGCGUUGUCCGGAUUUAUUGGGCGUAAAGAGCUCGUAGGCGGCUUGUCGCGUCGACUGUGAAAACUCGGGGCUCAACUCCGAGCUUGCAGUCGAUACGGGCAGGCUAGAGUUCGGUAGGGGAGACUGGAAUUCCUGGUGUAGCGGUGAAAUGCGUAGAUAUCGGAAAGAACACCAACGGCGAAAGCACUCUGCUGGGCCGACACUGACACUGAGAGACGAAAGCUAGGGGAGCGAAUGGG
rnacentral:rRNA from 1 species